GCUAGUAAUCGCGAAUCAGCAUGUCGCGGUGAAUACGUUCCCGGGUCUUGUACACACCGCCCGUCACACCAUGGGAGUCGGUAACGCCCGAAGUCAGUGACCCAACCGGAAGGAGGGAGCUGCCGAAGGCGGGACUGGUAACUGGGGUGAAGUCGUAACAAGGUACC
rnacentral:rRNA from 1 species